GAUGAACGCUGGCGGCGUGCCUAAUACAUGCAAGUCGAGCGAACGGACGAGAAGCUUGCUUCUCUGAUGUUAGCGGCGGACGGGUGAGUAACACGCGGAUAACCUACCUAUAAGACUGGGAUAACUUCGGGAAACCGGAGCUAAUACCGGAUAAUAUUUUGAACCGCAUGGUUCAAAAGUGAAAGGCGGUCUUGCUGUCACUUAUAGAUGGAUCCGCGCUGCAUUAGCUAGUUGGUAAGGUAACGGCUUACCAAGGCAACGAUGCAUAGCCGACCUGAGAGGGUGAUCGGCCACACUGGAACUGAGACACGGUCCAGACUCCUACGGGAGGCAGCAGUAGGGAAUCUUCCGCAAUGGGCGAAAGCCUGACGGAGCAACGCCGCGUGAGUGAUGAAGGUCUUCGGAUCGUAAAACUCUGUUAUUAGGGAAGAACAUAUGUGUAAGUAACUGUGCACAUCUUGACGGUACCUAAUCAGAAAGCCACGGCUAACUACGUG
rnacentral:rRNA from 1 species